CCUACGGGUGGCAGCAGUGAGGAAUAUUGGUCAAUGGGCGAGAGCCUGAACCAGCCAAGUCGCGUGAGGGAGUACUGCCCUAUGGGUUGUAAACCUCUUUUGUCGGGGAGCAAAAGCCUGACGUGUCCGGCUGUGAGAGUACCCGAAGAGAAAGCAUCGGCUAACUCCGUGCCAGCAGCCGCGGUAAUACGGAGGAUGCGAGCGUUAUCCGGAUUUAUUGGGUUUAAAGGGUGCGCAGGCGGAUUUUUACGUCAGCGGUAAAAUCGUGGGGCUCAACCCCAUCCAGCCGUUGAAACUGGGGAUCUAGAGUGUGCGAGAGGUAUGCGGAAUGCGGGGUGUAGCGGUGAAAUGCAUAGAUAUCACGCAGAACCCCGAUUGCGAAGGCAGCAUACCGGUGCACAACUGACGCUCAGGCACGAAAGCGUGGGUAUCGAACAGGAUUAGAUACCGAGUAGUC
rnacentral:rRNA from 1 species